ACAGAGAUAAAAUCGCACAGACUUAUCUUUUAAGUUUAUGAUCGCUAUUCACCAAGACCACAAAUCCUAUUCAUUACCCUUUUGGAAGCACACAUAUAACACGUGUACAGCACAACAUCAACACAAUCUUAAACAUUAUAUAAAGAGAUACAAGCAGGGUUUCUUCCAUUCACAUUACACUAAAGCUCCCUUUCAUCUCUCCCUCUCAACGAUGGAGUUCUCCAUGAGGUCAUUUGCAGUGGUGACCCCCCUGCUAUUGGUUUCCCUGUCCACUGAUAUGAGUGGUCCUCUUGUGGUGGAUGCUUGAGGAUGUGACUGGCUUCUUUGUCAACAAUACUGCAUGCUUCAGGGAAGUUUGCCAGCAUGCUGCGGAGGACCAGUUGGCCAUUGUUUCUGCACACGAGUUUGCCCACCCUUGGAUAAAAAGGAAAUUACUGUGGAGGUGAUGGCUGGUGCAAAGGACGAAGAGCCUUCCAUCAAGGAGAUAGUAAUCGCUUAAUGCUUUGCUGCAACAGCAGGAGAAUAAAUUACUCAUCUAUCUAUGAAGUUGGUCGAGUCAAUAAAUUUAUAGAUCUCUGUUUGGAGACUACAUUAAAUUGGCUUUAAUUAAAUAAACUAUAGUCUUGGCUUGGAGACUACAUUGUGGAAAUGUAGCCAUUUUUUAUUACAAGUAUUAUGUCCUAUGUUUUAAUAAACUUGGAAUGAGUAUAUUGUGAAAU